rnacentral:rRNA from 1 species
UACGGGGGGGGCAAGCGUUGUUCGGAAUUACUGGGCGUAAAGGGCCUGAUAGGCGGCCAACUAAGUCGGAUGUGAAAUCCCCAGGCUUAACCUGGGAACUGCAUCCGAUACUGGAUGGCUUGAAUUCGGGAGAGGGAUGCAGAAUUCCAGGUGUAGCGGUGAAAUGCGUAGAUAUCUGGAGGAAUACCGGUGGCGAAGGCGGCAUCCUGGACCGAGAUUGACGCUGAUGAGCGAAAGCUAGGGGAGCAAACGGG